AUAAUUUCAACAUAACGAUAUUCGUAUUAUUCACUUGAUUAAAAUCGAAUAAUAUAUAUAUUUAGUACUGCUAGCUAGGGUUAAAAAUGACCGACUAAUAUGCAUGGCAGCAUACCCUACAUUUCACCAAGAACAGAAGAGGCCAAAUUGCCUUAGCAGCACCCAGCAAGAAAGGGUGACAAGGAAAUGAUUUCCGUGGAAAAAUUUAUCCGUAGGGAGUGCUUAAUUCAGCUGUCGGAUAUAACAAGUUGGUGAUCGUGUAUGACCCACAAAGAGCGAUGGAUGUUUCUUUGACCCAGUCAUCUCCAAGAUCAUCUUAAAGAAGUUGCAGCUUUAAGAGCUCUCUAUAUGCAGAGACUGACAAAACUUGUGGGACUUAAAUAACAAAAUGGGAAAAACAUUGUAAAGCAAGUACUAAUGUCAG
rnacentral:lncRNA from 1 species